rnacentral:tRNA from 1 species
GGCCGAGCUGGCCGGGCGGGCGAUCCGCUGCCGCCGGCUGCGGAUGGUGCCGGUCGAGUGCAUCGCCCGCGGGUACCUCGCCGGCCUCGGCCU